GGCCCUUCAGCUCUGCCAAAAUGAAUAUUUGCAAUCCUGUUUGCAGCUGCAUUUCCACUGUCAGCAAGGCAGUCCUGUCAUUUAAGCGCUGUGGGUUUGUUGGAUGUAUCAAGCGGGUUAAAGAAGCCGCGAUAUUCAUCUGAACGGACACCGAUCACUGCCCCUAUGGAAGGUCCUCGUCUGAGAAAGUCCUCAGCGAGCCGCCGACAGCACACAGCGCUACUGUCCACACUGGUCCAGAAGCUGACUGGAUUUGUCUGUGUGCCACAACAACAUACUGGCAGUGGUCGAAUAAUGUGCACAAGUUAAAAAACUGCAGUUCUGAAGUGGAACAACAAAGCCACAGCUCAUGAGAUGGACGCUGCCAUGGCCGAUCACCUCAAGCAUGCCCCCUGCAGAGCUUUUAACUUUUUUUUUUCUUUUCUUGUUUGACUUCUCAGAAACUAAAAUGCAAGAUUUUGUCUUGUUAAAUAAUCACCUUGAUUUCCUUUACAUUAAAACAUUGAAAAUCAUGUACAAUACUGACACAGCUUAUGGUUCAAAGGUUUGAAAAUUCUUUCUGAAUUGAUGCAAAGGAUCUUUGUCUUAGUCCUGACGAAGUUCAUGGUCCAGUUUUAUGUUCCACAAAUGAAAUUAAUAAUAAGUACACAUUUUCAAUAAAGUUUCCAUUUAACAAAGUUUGUUUUAUGUUUACAUUGGAAUCAAAAUUGUUAGUUAACUACAGGAAGUUUUUUUGCAUGGUAAAAACGUUCUUCACAUUGACAGGUAAUGCGUUGUAUAUGGUUCUAUAUAGAAAAAUUCAUUCUAUAUAACACCAAAAAAGGUUCUUCUAUUGUACAGUGUAUUAAGCAUGAAAUGGUUCUAUAUAGGAUUCAUGGUAAAGUGCUAUCUUUUUUUGAGAGUGUACUAGUGGAAAUUAAUUUUGCAUGGCUUUUCACUGCCUUUAAAUUUAUAGUUGAUCAUUUUUUCCAAGGCCUUAGAACACCUUAAAAUGACGUUUUUACUGUGACUUUUUUGGUCGUCUUUUCAACAGUUAAGCUUGAAUGUCUUUCAACUUUCAUUUUCAACCAUAAGAAAACUUAAAUUAAACAGCAGUUAUGUACGUGAUUUCAACGUUAAAUCAACAGCCUUUAAAUGACGUCUUUAAUGUGACUAUUUUGGCCGUUUUUUCAACGGUUGAAAAGUUUAGACGUCUUUUCAACUUUCAUUUUGAACCUUAAUAAAGCGUAGUUUAAACGGCAGUCAGAUACGUGAUUUCAACGUUGUUUCAAGGGCCAAAUGUUUACUGGGUAGAGUCC